UUCCUUUUGCGUCUAGUUGAGGGUUUACUUUGCUCGCGAAAAAGGAAAAAAGUUUGAGGGUUUACCUGAAUGAUGAGGUUAGUUUUACAUCUCUUCAUUCUGAUGCUUGCAUUUCACCUCGUUAGCUCUCUGCGCAGAGAUAAGCAAUCAGGUUAGACAGCAAUUUUUUGUGGAGAACAGCUCCCCUGUUGGUGACUAAUGGUUGGUUUCCCUCUCCUUCCUUUGAAUUCGGCAUGUUCAUGAGUUAAAGCUUAAAAAUAGAAAACCAACACAAAACUAAUGAUCAAAAGCUAAUGAUGAUUAAGUUCUUGAGCGAGUUUUCUGAUUAACUAAGAGAACAAAUCAAUAUGAGAUUAUGAGUAGCUAAAAUAUUACAUGAGAUAACACCGAGAGCCUGGAUGUGGUUUUUUAUUUGUGAUCGGCUGAAACAUACAGACGAAAUACACUUGGAUGUGGUUUUUUUAUUUGUGAUCUACCACAAAAGAAACUUGAGUUUGUAUCAAGCAUAUCAUUCUUGCUUAUUUAUUAGCCAUUUAAUUGAAGGUGUACUUGGUUGUUGCUGUUGCUAUGCUUGAGUUGUACUUUGCUCUACAUUCAACACAUUACUGCCAUUAAGUUAAAGAGUCCUUUUUCAAACCUGAACCCAUUAAUAGAGAGCUGGAGUUUGAAAUCUGGAGGGUAGAAAUGGGUGGCCACAUGACCUAUCCUUCUCUCCUUUACCUUCCAGAGGUAAAGAGACAUCACAAGAGUUUGGUUCCAUGAAAUUGUGAGGUCCAUGGUGCAAGUGAGAAGAGGCAGAUAAGGAUGUAAUGAAUGCCCUCCAAGAAAAUUGCAAGACAGGAAAUGGGAGAUAAUGAGAAGAUUUUGUGGUUUCUUUUGGUGCCCUUGUUUUGGGAGUUUAUCAGUUUCUCAAUAUAAAGAAUUUUGCCGGACCAGAUGAAACAAGGCACAUGAUGCAACCAGAUAGUACUAUUUGACUAAGCAAUAGAGCACGACGCAUGUCUUAAAUCUGUGUACAAAUUUUAUUGAAGCAUUCUCGUGUACAACUGUUACUGCUUAAUACCAACCGCCGUCACCAACCAGCAGCUACUUUUACGAAAAGAGUACAUUGCUAUGAACAGUAGAGUUAACUCGUACAGCAACAAAUAAGCCAGGCAAAAUUUACCACAGGACACGCAAAAAACGUGUAAUUGGCUGAGAGACCGUAACAACGUGACAUGGCUCAUGGACACUAAAAAAAUAUGUAAUUGGCCAUAGGACACCGGUCGCAUUAUUUUAUUAUUUCCGAGUAAAAAAGUGAGAUAUUUAUCUAAAUGUCCGGAUUGCCCUUUCUCUUUCCUUCUUUAAAUACCGGUGGGUUCCACAUGUCAUGGACAGCAUAUGUUUAAUCUAAUUUUUAAUAGGUUUUUAACCACCUGGGCCCACGAGUCAUAGACUAAUUUAUUCGUAAUUAGUAGGUUGAUUACUAUUUGCUAAUCAUAAGUGGGGUCCACAUCUCUCUCCUAUCCUCUUCUUCCUCACGCACGCGGCGGAGCGGAGGAACGACGCGACGGCCUGAGCCGAGACGGCUCGGCGCGCAGCGGAAAAAGCGGCGGCGCUCCGCCAGGGUCUCACCGCCGGCGAUGGCGAGGCGCGACGGCCACCAUACGCACGACGCGACGGACUGGUGCGUCGUGGCGGACAGGUGCGUGGCGGCGGUGGGCAGCUGCUGGUGCGGCUGCGGCGACGGUGGCGCGGACUUGGCCGAGCUCUGCGCCGUGGCGGCGGCGGCGGCGUUGCAGAGCGGCUGCAGCAGCGGGUGGUGGUGGCGAGCGGCUCCAUCACCAUUGUGAUUUGUGCAUUGCAUUUGAUCGAUUUGUUGCCGUUGAUUGGUUUCUUGUUGACGUGUGUGCAGGUUUGAGGUGGAUCCAUGGCGACGGGUCGGUGGAGAACAGGACCUGCAGAGCGGCGGCGGCGCCGUGAGGCUCAGCUUCGAGACGCACCACGGCGGCGGCGUGGCACCUUCGCCGGAGUUCGCGGCGUGCGCGGCGAGCUCCUGCAGCGCGGAAAUCAUGGUGUUGCUGCUCCUGCAGCGCGGCGAGCUCCUGGUGCACCAUGACCGGCCGAGCCAUCACCACCGCCGUUACUUCCCAACGCCGCAACCAGUCGAAGCCGCCGCCGCAGUUGAAGUUGGAUGGGGAUUUCAGGUACUGAGGCUGAGGGCAUUUUCGUCCUUUUGAAAUUUCUCUCUCCUCUUUUUCACUGAAAAUAAUAAAAUAUUGCCUCGGAUGUCCUACAGCUAAUUACACAAAUUUUAUAGUGCAUUGGCAGUGUCGUGUUUUUUAGGUGUCUUCUAGCUAAUUACAUGAUUUUUGGAUGUCCGCAAAUUUUGCCAAUAAGCAAUUAGCAAUGUUCGUUGCAAUGACGUACUACUAAUGAACUUAUUAGAACAAGUGACAAGGAACCGAUCUAGUUGCAACAUCGUACUGGUAACUUACAGCAAGCGACAAUGAGGUUAUCUACUUGUAAAUUUUCAGUUGACCUGCCAUGCAGCAAGCAAGUACUACAUUUUGGGUAUUUUUCUACACUUGUAUCAGGGGCUAGGACAAGUAAUUUGAUGCAGCUAAAUCAUCUGUUAUCCAGAAUUCCCUGUUGUCCUCUCAACAAGCAGGAUUUAGAACAUAUAGUGACUAAUGUGCACAUCAGAUAGGAACUGACCUUAAUUGUUUUCAUAUUGCCAUUAUGCGUGGAGCCGUGUAGCCAUUGCUUCCUUUGAUCUGGAUGGAUUUGUCACUUUGGCCACGUUUAGAGCCUGCCUACCUCUUGUGACAGCUUACUUGUUAAAGUCUGUUCCGCCAAAAUCUGUCAAGGAAACCAAUGUUAUUGUGAAGAAGAAAUAGUGGUACGCGCACAUUAGAACCUUAUCGUUUGCACUAUAUAGAAUCAGUCGUUGUGAAAAUUUAAAUAUUAAAUUUUAAUUUUUGAAGUUUUCUUAUCUAAAUUUAUUUUUCAACAUUGACAUUUUAAUCGCUAAAGGCACACGUAUAUAAAAAAGUUUUAUCUAUAAAUUAAUUUUAUAAUACAUCGUACAAAUGUACUCAACAUAUAAUUAAAAGAUGGUGGCAUUACUAUGACUGAAGAAACAUGAGGAAUUUGAAACCUCACGCCGACGGUUUUCUCUACACAACUCUCAGAAAAUCUACAUGAAAUUUUAUAUAAUAGAACAAAAAAAAGGCAGAGAGAAGAAUCUGCUGCAUACGAAAUUUUAUAUGAGAAGAGAAAAAAGAGGCAGAGCAAAGAAGCUGCGGCCUGUUACUAUGUCGUAUUUACAACGAUAAUAGAAACAGCUAAACACAACUAAGGUAGAUGGGAUCAUGGGAACAAACAGAACAGGAGAUAACAAUUGCUCGUGCUGAGAUAUUUCGUCCCGGGAAAGAAGCAAUUGUUAGGAGUAUUAUUAUCUUAUUGCAGCGCUAACUUAUUUUAGGUGCAUGGCAAGUAUGGAGUGAUUGUGGUGUGCUGCAGCAAAUGUUGAACUUUAGCCCAUCAUGUUGCUACUGAUUGAUCAGUCUUAUCAGUUCUGAUUGUUUUGUCUUUUCAUAUGCAUUUCUGACAGGCGUUAUUAUGACUCAAGAAACACUAUUCGAGAAUCAACACUACUACCGUGGUGACCUGUGAUUUUCUGGAGGGUUGUUCCCUGCCUUCUCUGCGAGGUUCCAUUCCAUAAGCUCAAGACAAACCUGCUGUCCGAUAGGCAGACCUAAAAGUGUUAUACGAAUGUAAGGCAGUCCUAAUUACUCCUACUCUACAUCACCCGAAAGUAUCUUAAGUAAAUUUUCAAAAAGAAUAGACGAUCGAUUGAAAGCAAAAUGCAAAUGCCACCCAUGAACAACAAAACUGCACGUACUUGCUCUUAGUGCUAAGAAAAGCGAGUGUUUAGUUGUGAGAAGCGAAUCAGUAAUUACUUCAACUCAUUCUUCCACCAAUUCAAACAAUAUUGAAAUUUCACGAAAGAAUGUAGAGUAGAUCAGUAGAGCCUUAUGUUGCUCCGUUUUCUGGAGAAAAGCAACGAGAAAAAUGUGUGGACAGAUAAAGAGAGCUGCCCUACUAUAUUCAAAUGAUAUAUUGGAAGAAUUUGUCGUGCGAACAAGCCGAUAAGAUCUACUCCAUCGUGGUAAUUACUAAAAAGUAUCUGCUUAUGCUAACCUCCAAUCAUGUGGCUCCAAGUCCCUAAGCAACGUGAAGCCUAAUCAAAUCUAGUGCUCAAACUUUUAAGCUUCAAAUAUUUUUAGCAGCUGCCCAUUCAUUCAAUCCUUCCCAAGUUUAAACCAAUUCCAUCUAGCUUCCACUUGAUAGCACUAGCCCAAGCAUAUCUAGCUAGUUAAUCUUAAUCUUCAUGACGGUUCAAGCUUAAUUGGAUCAGCUAUUUAUAGAAGCAGAGUGGACCCGACUCAAGCAGAGUCAGUUGCGCAAGCAACUAACCACUCAACAAAGCAAGUUUAAACAACUAAUCAACAAUAGACUAAUGCAAAGUACCAGUAGUACGUUGAGGUACUAACGAUCUUGAUUACAGUUCUUAAUUAAUCUCCCAGCCAAUCGUGGACCACCGUGGACCAUUUGCUUCCUAAGCUCCCACAUUAAGGGCGUGCCCGGCAUGAAGGCGCCAUCGUACUACAGUUGCAGACCAUGUGGAUGAACCCUAGCCAAGACAGCCGCUUUGUUAAUUCCUCCCCACCAGCCGAGUCCCACGUCAUGUACAGCAAACAUGGUGUUUAGGGUCCGGUUUGGCUGCCGAUUGUCAGUGUUUUAAGUCAGGAUGAUCUAAAUUUUCUGGCACAGGAGUUUGUGUGAGACCAAUGUCAGAAUGGAACGUGCCAGGCAGGUGGGGGAGAUAUGAUCAAAUUUGUGCUGCUUUCGACAGGUCAAGUCCUGGAAGCAGUGGUUUACAACGUACAAGGAACAGGGGGCAGAGAAGGCGCACUGCAGGAGGUUCGUGGCUUUCAUAAGAUUGUCACGUUGUACAGGUAAUUGUCUGACUAACUGCUAUAAGCGUUGCACCACGACGUCGUUCAGGUAGAGAUCAUGGCAUCAUUUGAUAGUAGCUUAGUAUUAGUUAAUGCGUAAUUGUUUACCGCGCUAAGUCAGCAUAAGUUAUGCACCUGGUAAUUCAUGGCGACCUUAGGUUCCAAAUCCAGUACACAAAAAAAAAGGUAUGGAAAAGGGAAAAAAAAGGCGUUUGACAGGGACGUGACAAAAGAAAACAGCCAUCAGAUAAAGGAAUGGCAAUAACUGGAAAAGGCACAGAGAAAUGACCGUGAAAAAGCAUUGCAAUUUCGAAUCUUUCAAGUUUAGCAUAUCAAUCUAAAAAAUUCUAACUCAAUGAAAUGUCAAAGCAACUGAGGGCAUUGCAUAAAAUCGAAAGACAGCAGGUACCUGCACAAUAUAGGGAAAGGUCCUCAUCUUGAGCAUUUUGUGGUAGGAUUAAUGUCCUCAGCAUUCUACUCAAAAAUAGUGCACCGACAUCGUUAGAGUCUUUGAGAGAUUCUGCACAUACUCAGUGGAAAAAAAAAGGAAUUCAAGAUUGAUCUUAUGUAGACGAAAAGAACUAAGAUAAAUAGGUCACUCACAGGUGCAAGAGAGAUGAGAAGUUGUAAUACACCCGGCAAGAAGUUGUAAUACUUCUAUCUUCUUGAUAAUCAACCAUUGCCAAAGAAAACUUCUUACAUGCACGUUAGUCAGCAUCAUACCAUAAAGUCAUG
rnacentral:lncRNA from 1 species